AUCUAAACGUUUAGGAAUCUAUUCUAAACGUGUUCUGAAUAUUUAAUUUGCGUUUAGAUGACAUUUACGUCGUUCUAAACGAUUAGGAAUCAAUUCUAAAUGAGUUCUGAAUAUUUAGUUAGCGUUUAAGCGCUAAAUCAUGCCGGUUUCCGUUACUUCGAUUAGCCCGGAAGGGAUUUUGCACAGAAACGGACAUUUUGGAUCUUUCAUUAUUGUUUAAAAAUUUGAAUUUCAUAUGAAUAUUAAAUUAUGUAGAUAGUAGUUUAGAAAACUUAAAAGAAAUUUGAGUAAACAAAAAUUGAGUUAACGGAUGUUUUAGGAGGAUUAACUUUUUGAUAAUGACCUUUGGACAUGCUUGUUUGUAUAUUAAAACAUGCUUGUUACCAUAUUUAAAAUCGUUAUUUAGUCUGAUUUUCUAAUGGCAUAAAAAACUAUACUUAGACUGUUAUUAAAAUAGACUAUUAGUCUAUAAUAAUUCGCAUAAAUAUCACAAAAGUUUGAAAAAAGGUUUAGUUAUGAAAGUUAUUAAGUUUGGUAUUAUUUAAUUAAAUUGAAGCAGUUUGUAUUACAGAAAAAAGUGGUUUUACAAGAUUUGAAAUAGUUUGUAUCAAACCAAGAAGUAGUUAAAAGAUUGCAAAAGAGAUCAUUCGUAUGAGUGCAAAAGCAAAGUAUAUGCGAAAAUAUAGAAAAGUUGUUAAAGGUGCAAAUAAUUGCUUUGAAUGUGAACCUCCUGUGUUAUCAAAUUCUUCAACUAAUGCAGAAAAUUUAUUCGCUUUAUCUUCUAUUGCAAAUAAUAUAACUGAUAAUUUA